CAGCUGGAUUUCCAGAGAAGUGUGUUCCUUGUGUCUCUGUAUCCUGCUUAGCGACAGGUGGAGCUCUUGUCCAGUGCAACUUAAGUGACUGCGAAAAACUUGGCUAACAAAUACCAGCCCCAGAAGUCACUCUAGUGUGUUCAGAGAAAGAAACCUGUUUUUCCUACAUAUCUUACUAAGGACAAAUACUAGAGACUGAUUUUCUCCAUGCUCACCAGCAAAUCAGAGAUAGUGUUCAUUUUGCUUAAGUGUUUUAAGGCUGUUGCUGAAGUGUUUCUUCUUAGUCAUUUUCCUUCAGGGCAGUACAAAGAAGUCCAGUCCAUCCACUUCUCCCUUCCCCACCUACACGGUAACAAGAUAACAAGCUGACAGCAGGUACCACUUCUUGCCUCCUUUAGUCAUAUUAGAGUUCUGUCUUUAUAAGUAUAUGCACAUCUUUAUUUCUGAGCUUUUCUAAUCCUAGGAACAGUUCAUUCUGAUUAGCAAAGUAAAGUAGAUGUGGGAGGCAGGACUGUUUGAAAACCAUUGAAUCAUGAUUUUGAAAUAAUUGAAGUUUCUCAAAAUUCAGACAUAAAACAAAUUUUUAUAUGCAUUAACAUUUGUGCUAAGAGAGUAUAUCUAAAUGGAGAAAGAAGAUAAGCAGGCUACAGAAAUCUUACAAACUUAGCUUGCCCACCCUCACUCAAGGGCUGAAAAAUAUAUGGUCUUUUUUUUUUUCACCUUGUGCUUUUAAUGAGAACAGAAAGAAGUAUGUCUAAAUUGAUUGGUAGCUCUGUGGUGAAUGUUUAGGAGCUAUCAAAAUUGAGAGACCUAGGGAAUUCAAUUACUGGAGUAGGGUAAUUGUGGUAAGAAUAAAACCUUAAAAGUUGUUAUGAAAGCUUUGCUGCCUGCUCAGACUUGGAAUUUAUACAGUACUCCUUGUCUGGUGCCAAGGAGAGGGUUUAGCAGUCAAUUCUGUCCCAGCUGCAGUCAUUUGAUUGUGUUGGUAAGGAGACCAACAAAAAGAAGAGCAUUUCAAUAAUCUAAACAGGACCAAACAAAGAGACUGAAUAAAGGUGUGUGCCACAGCUUCAGGGAGCGGGUGGUGGAAGGAGACAUGGCCUGGCAGCAUUCCGAAGGUGGGAAAUGGCAGGCUGCAGUGCAGAAGGAGUAAACAGCCAGGACCUGUGGCUUUGUAGCAAAAACAGAGUGGCCGAUGAUUUGUUAUGGUGCUGUCAGCACAUCCGUUCUUGUUCUUUGUAUACAAUAAUUGUGCAUUUGGCAAAUUGUGGCAAGAACAGAGAAUGACUGUUGAGAACUUUUGGAUUGCUGUCAGCAGUCAGACUGUGGUUCUGAAGAAAAGCCAUAGGUUCAAACCCAGAAACUGAGGAGGAACAUUGUGUUUUUCUUAACAGUUUUUCUCUUUUAGUUGUUAGUUGUCUAUAUAAUAUCUCCAUUCUUUCUCUCUCCCUUUCGUGUCCUAUGGCCACUUCCACAUAUACUCUUACCCAACCCCUUAAGCCUAAACUCUUCCCCUCUUAAUGACAGCAAUUGUUCAGGGCAUGUUUAUGGAUCAGUCUGCAAACAGGAAACUCUACUUCCUGAAUAUGAUGGGAGUUAAAUGAUAGUAACUGGAUAAGAUGAAAAUUUGUGAGUUAAGUGUUCUUUAAAGAUCUGUUGCUGAAAUGCUUUUCUUGUGAGAAGAGGAAGGAGAAAGCACAAGUUAGUGAGUGAGAGGAGCUUCACUGCAGAGAAACUCAAAGUCAGUCUUUCUGAAAAGCCCUGCUGUCUUUAUUGAAUUAACAUACAACUAGGGUUAACGACAUUUACCAGUCAACCUAUUUGCAGUCCUCCAAGAGAGCUAGUUUUGGGUUUAAAAAAAAAAAAA
rnacentral:sRNA from 1 species